rnacentral:rRNA from 1 species
UACAGAGGUCUCAAGCGUUGUUCGGAUUCAUUGGGCGUAAAGGGUGCGUAGGCGGCGCGGUAAGUCGGGUGUGAAAUCUCGGGGCUUAACUCCGAAACUGCAUUCGAUACUGCCGUGCUUGAGGACUGGAGAGGAGACUGGAAUUUACGGUGUAGCGGUGAAAUGCGUAGAUAUCGUAAGGAAGACCAGUGGCGAAGGCGGGUCUCUGGGCAACUACUGACGCUGAGGAGCGAAAGCGUGGGUAGCAAACAGG